rnacentral:piRNA from 1 species
CAUUUGUGUUUCUGAUCAGCCUGGGCAA